rnacentral:rRNA from 1 species
CCUUUGUACACACCGCCCGUCGCUACUACCGAUUGAAUGGCUAAGUGAGGCUUUCGGACUGGCCCAGGGACGGCGGCAACGCCGACCCAGGGCUGGAAAGUUGUCCAAACUUGGUCAUUUAGAGG